rnacentral:rRNA from 1 species
AUGGAAGGGGGGAGUAAUGCUCACGGGACGGCGGGCGAGCCCAACGCCAAUGCUCAUCAUCAGAACGAGGAUGCUGCCAGCGCCAGCAAGUUGCCGCUGGUGGUGCCGGCGCCGGAGAAGGAGGAGGAGCACGGCGACGGCAGGCCGAUGACCCCGGGCGCCCCCGCGGGCGUGCCGCGCGGGUGCUGCGCGGUGUACGUGGGCGCGGAGCGGCGGCGGUUCGUGGUGCCGACGGCGUACCUGGGCAACCCUGUGUUCCGGCGGCUGCUGGAGAAGGCGGAGGAGGAGUUCGAGUUCGUUUACGUGGGCGGCGCGCUCACCAUCCCCUGCGACACGGAGUCCUUCAAGUACAUCCUCGCCGUCAUGGAGCGGCACCGGAAGGGCCUCGUCGUCGUGGACCACGAAGGGAAUACCACGGAGACGCCCAAGGCGGCAGCAGGUGGAUCAUCAUCAUCAUCGCCGGGUAAUCCGGAAUGA